rnacentral:misc_RNA from 1 species
GAUGAAGAACGCAGCGAAAUGCGAUAAGUAAUGUGAAUUGCAGAAUUCAGUGAAUCAUCGAAUCUUUGAACGCACAUUGCGCCCGCCAGUAUUCUGGCGGGCAUGCCUGUUCGAGCGUCAUUACAACCCUCAGGCCCCCGGGCCUGGCGUUGGGGAUCGGCGGAAGCCCCCUGCGGGCACAACGCCGUCCCCCAAAUACAGUGGCGGUCCCGCCGCAGCUUCCAUUGCGUAGUAGCUAACACCUCGCAACUGGAGAGCGGCGCGGCCACGCCGUAAAACACCCAACUUCUGAAUGUUGACCUCGAAUCAGGUAGGAAUACCCGCUGAACCUAAGCAUAUCAAUAAGCGGAGGA